rnacentral:lncRNA from 1 species
CCUAAGCAUUUGUGUGACCUUCAACCUCUGCUUCAGAAUACACAAGAAUCUACAGUCAUAGAAACAAUGUAUAUGAUCACAAAUUCGAACAGGAACAAGGUGUUUAGAGGGCAAACCGUUCGGCAAAGAAAGAAAAGAGAGAGAGACAGAGAGACCAAAACUUAAGGCUUUCAAAUUACUUAAUAGCUGUUACGAAAACUAUUCCUGCAAAUGCAGGGAUGACAUCUCCAGAAAAUAUAAGCAAACAAUACACGCUAAUUAGCAUAACUGAUGUUGUAUGUCUGAAAUGAACUCAUGCAGCAGACAAGUUUUGAAGAUUGGAAAUCAAAAAGGAAGGGUGUAGUUGAGAAACAAAACCAGAGCUUUGCUUUUCUUGAAGACACAGUAGCACCUUAGCUUCCCUUGACAUUCGAAAGAUGCUUUUUAAUCCUGUGAUUUAAAUACAACUUUAAGGUUUCGUUAACAAAUCUACGCAUCAGAAACUGCAUCAUAACUAAAGUAAAGAGAAAUCAUUAUAGAGGCUGAGGCUCUCCUUGAGAGAUGUACUUGAGAAAUUAUUAUAGUAGCCAUUCCACUGAUCUGCAAUCUGCAUUAUCCAUAAAAUUUUCCAAAAUCAUCAUCCAAUCAAAAUCUUAGUCCAAGAUAGAAGUAUAAAGCUAUACUUCAUAGAAUCUAAAAACAUCCUACCAAAAAAAAAAAAAGAAUCUUAAAACCAAAGGAAUCAAGUUAUUUGAUAGCUAAACAUAAGAUACAUAAAAACUUAGAAUAAGGAGCUUAAUAAAACUCAAGUAAAUAACUAACCAUAACAAUUCAUCCGACACAUGCGACCUACAAACAAACAUCAAACGAAGCCAACAAAUUUUUAAGGAUUGGAAAUCGAAAAAGAAUGGUGUACUUGAGAAACGAACCAGAGCAUUGCUUUCCUGAAGAUACAGAAUCUAAAGUGCUUCAGAACUAAAUAGCUAACCAUAACAAUUCAUCUACACAUAACUUAGAUUCAGAAUUAAACAUGAAAUGAACUCAAGCGACCUACAAAAAAACAUCAAUCACAGCCAACAAAUUUCAAAGAUUAGAAAUCGAAAAAGAAGGAACCAGAGCUUUGCUUUUCUGAAGAUACAGUAAGUAUCCUCUUAGCUUCNN